AGCGAACGCUGGCGGCAGGCCUAACACAUGCAAGUCGAACGAACUCUUCGGAGUUAGUGGCGGACGGGUGAGUAACACGUGGGAACGUGCCUUUAGGUUCGGAAUAACUCAGGGAAACUUGUGCUAAUACCGAAUGUGCCCUUCGGGGGAAAGAUUUAUCGCCUUUAGAGCGGCCCGCGUCUGAUUAGCUAGUUGGUGAGGUAAAGGCUCACCAAGGCGACGAUCGGUAGCUGGUCUGAGAGGAUGAUCAGCCACAUUGGGACUGAGACACGGCCCAAACCCCCACGGGAGGCAGCAGGGGGGAAUCUUCCGAAAGGGGCGAAAGCCUGACGCAGCCAUGCCGGGGGAAUGAUGAAGGUUUUAGGAUUGUAAAAUUCUUUCACCGGGGACGUUAAUGACGGUACCCGGAGAAGAAGCCCCGGCUAACUUCGU
rnacentral:rRNA from 1 species